CGUCAGGUCCAGCUCGUAUCCCUCCUCCAUGUUGAAAGCGAGGUUCUCCUGUCACAAGAGACCCGAUGAAUCGAUCGCCGCCGCAGCCUCCCGACAAAUAGCCCUUAUCUUUUGCUAAAAAGUCGUUUUUAAAAAGGCGGGGCUUCCUUUCAACGUUGCAAGGAUUGAGACGAAUUCAUUCACACACAGCCAAUUGAAGCUACAUCCCGGCCGGCGCUUUGAAGGGGGCCCGGGAGGGAGCCAACCGUUUCAGACCGGCCCAAUGAAAGAACCCGUGUGUCUGAAGAGGUCAUCGCUCCGGGAAACUUUGGUACAUUUGGACUCAAGCCUUGUCCUCAAUCCAUGCAUCUAAAAGUGUAAAAGCUUCAGAAAAGAGAAGCAAUGUAAACAAAGCUCUAUUCAGGAGCCCCGCCCUGUCACCUGGCCAUCAUUUGUUUUGUUUUUUUCCAUGGAAUAUUCCACACUUCCCAUUCCCGAACGUCGGCAACUCGUUGAAUCACGGCCUUUUGUUUGUUUUCAUUUUUGGAAGUUCAUUGUGAUGACAAAAGUUGGCAAGAACUUUGCAUACUUGGCCGUCUUGGUGAAUGAGACUGGCUUGAAUCGCGUAGAUGUUUGUUUGUGUCUGAGUUUGCCGGUUGCUACAUGCGUCGACAAGCUGGCUGGCUGUGUUUUCCAUCACCGACGGCAAUGUGGUCAUCAUCGUGCCAGAUUAUUUCUGCAUACUCGGGGGAAGCAAGCUGAAUGUCUGAGAAACUUUUUACAUAACGUGUUAGUCGUGAACUGAGUUCAAAUCCCAUCUAAAUGUUUUUAUUGUCACGAUUAAACCUGCGGUUUGGGAGCUAAGAGGCGGGUAAAAAAAAAAUAAUCUCCAUUAUCCCAAACGCAGAUAGUUUUACCGAGCAAGGGCUCCGUCUUGCCAAUUUGUGAGUCAUGCGGCAUUUUUAGCCCAAUUAAAGAAAAGUGCGAUUCCACCGCAAACCUGCUGACAUAUGAAAGCAAUCUCAGGGGUCCAACGACUUCAAUCAAUCAAACUCCAAGAAAGCUGACAUGAUUCAAAUACACUUGUUAGUGUGGGGCCCAUGGUGAUUUUGCCAUGUU